rnacentral:rRNA from 1 species
UACGUAGGUGGCAAGCGUUGUCCGGAAUUAUUGGGCGUAAAGCGCGCGCAGGCGGUUAUGUAAGUCUGGUGUUAAAGCCCGGGGCUCAAACUCGGGUCGCUUUGGAAACUGUGUAACUUGAGUGCCGAAGAGGAAAGUGGUAUUCCACGUGUAACGGUGAAAUGCGUAGAGAUUUGGAGGAACACCAUUGGCGAAGGCGACUUUCUGGUCUGUAACUGACGCUGAGGCGCGAAAGCGUGGGGAGCCAGCAGG